rnacentral:tRNA from 1 species
GGGGCCGUAAGGUAACCUGGUAUCCUGCAAGCUUGGGGUGCUUGUUAUCUGAGUUCAAAUCUCGGCGGCCCCA